rnacentral:rRNA from 1 species
AGAAUCAACGCUGGCGGCGUGCCUAAUACAUGCAAGUCGAACGCGAAAGUCCCGCAAGGGAUGAGUAGAGUGGCAAACGGGUGAGUAACGCGUGGGUGACCUGCCUUCGAGUGGGGGAUAACGUUUCGAAAGGAACGCUAAUACCGCAUGACAUCCUGUCUUUUAACAGACGGAGAUCAAAGCCGGGGAUCGCAAGACCUGGCGCUUGAAGAGGGGCCCGCGUCCGAUUAGCUAGUUGGUGGGGUAAUGGCUCACCAAGGCAACGAUCGGU